AUGAACGCUGGCGGCGUGCCUCAUACAUGCAAGUCGAGCGAACGGACGAGAAGCUUGCUUCUCUGAUGUUAGCGGCGGACGGGUGAGUAACACGUGGAUAACCUACCUAUAAGACUGGGAUAACUUCGGGAAACCGGAGCUAAUACCGGAUGAUAUUUUGAACCGCAUGGUUCAAAAGUGAAAGACGGUCUUGCUGUCACUUAUAGAUGGAUCCGCGCUGCAUUAGCUAGUUGGUAAGGUAACGGCUUACCAAGGCAACGAUGCAUAGCCGACCUGAGAGGGUGAUCGGCCACACUGGAACUGAGACACGGUCCAGACUCCUACGGGAGGCAGCAGUAGGGAAUCUUCCGCAAUGGGCGAAAGCCUGACGGAACAACGCCGCGUGAGUGAUGAAGGUCUUCGGAUCGUAAAACUCUGUUAUUAGGGAAGAACAUAUGUGUAAGUAACUGUGCACAUCUUGACGGUACCUAAUCAGAAAGCCACGGCUAACUACGUG
rnacentral:rRNA from 1 species